AUUGAACGCUGGCGGAAUGCUUUACACAUGCAAGUCGAGCGGCAGCGCGGCCUUCGGGCUGGCGGCGAGCGGCGAGCGGGUGAGUAAUGCAUCGGAACAUGCCCAGUCGUGGGGGAUAACACUUCGAAAGAAGUGCUAAUACCGCAUACGUCCUGAGGGGGAAAGCGGGGGAUCGCAAGACCUCGCGCGAUUGGAGUGGCCGAUGUCAGAUUAGCUAGUUGGUGGGGUAAAGGCCUACCAAGGCGACGAUCUGUAGCUGGUCUGAGAGGAUGAUCAGCCACACUGGGACUGAGACACGGCCCAGACUCCUACGGGAGGCAGCAGUGGGGAAUUUUGGACAAUGGGGGCAACCCUGAUCCAGCCAUUCCGCGUGAGUGAAGAAGGCCUUCGGGUUGUAAAGCUCUUUCGGCAGGAACGAAACGGUGGGCUCUAACAUAGUCCGCUAAUGACGGUACCUGAAGAAGAAGCACCGGCUGACUACGUG
rnacentral:rRNA from 1 species